CUUUGAGGAGAGUAGCUGCCCGGCGCCUGGAUCAUUGUCUGCCUGGUCCCUGCCAUCACAACACCCUCCUCUCAUGGAGGAGAAAAAAGAGCAAGAAUUCAGUCCUGGUUGAAGUCCCAUUUGAAAAGGUGUUUAUGGAAGCUGGAGAAGAGCCCCAGGAGGCAGCAUCAGAGCCAGGAGUUUGGGGACUCGGUGGGCUUUAAAGGUUUGUUACUGACCGGCGAAGUCCAGCAUCGGUCCUCCCGCCAGAUGGGGGCAGUACUCCGCACGCCUAGGGCCGG